CGUGUCGUGAGAUGUUGGGUUAAGUCCGUAACGAGCGCAACCCUGUCCUUAGUUACCAGCACGUUAUGGUGGGCGACUCUAAGGAGACUGCCGGUGACAAACCGGAGGAAGGUGGGGAUGACGUCAAGUCAUCAUGGCCCUUACGGCCUGGGCUACACACGUGCUACAAUGGUCGGUACAAAGGGUUGCCAAGCCGCGAGGUGGAGCUAAUCCCAUAAAACCGAUCGUAGUCCGGAUCGCAGUCUGCAACUCGACUGCGUGAAGUCGGAAUCGCUAGUAAUCGUGAAUCAGAAUGUCACGGUGAAUACGUUCCCGGGCCUU
rnacentral:rRNA from 1 species